rnacentral:rRNA from 1 species
UACGUAGGGUGCAAGCGUUAAUCGGAAUUACUGGGCGUAAAGCGUGCGCAGGCGGUUUUGUAAGUCUGUCGUGAAAUCCCCGGGCUCAACCUGGGAAUUGCGAUGGAGACUGCAAGGCUAGAAUCUGGCAGAGGGGGGGUAGAAUUCCACGUGUAGCAGUGAAAUGCGUAGAGAUGUGGAGGAACACCGAUGGCGAAGGCAGCCCCCCUGGGUCAAGAUUGACGCUCAUGCACGAAAGCGUGGGGAGCAAACAGGAU